GGUACCAUAAAAGCGGUAAACCUGAAAUUCACCCAAAUGUUUAACUUGCCUUCUUCUUCUUCUUCUCCAAUUUGAGAUUUGAUCCAAUCCGUAGCCUAAGGAGAAACGAAAAGGGGAAACUGCGACAAAUCAAAGAAGGUGGUCCAUGGCUGAUUUACAGCUAAAGAAAAGAGGAUACAUCUAGGCAAUCUCUGUUGGGUUCAAUGCAGCUCUUGCUGCCGUCUCUGCGAAGUUUUUCUCACUAUCGUAAUGAAAAUCUUAACUACUAAAUAUAUCCCAUUUUCAUUUGUGUAACUUUUUUUUUCCAUGAGAGGGGUUUAAUAGUUUUGUUGCAAUUGAUUAAUUUAAUUUUGGAAAUUUUUAAUGUUUAACAGGUGAUAGAGUAUGGAUUAGUUGUAUUAUGUAAUGUGGUAAUGUGGGGAUGUUAUGUAAACAGCUUAAGAUCUCUCUCUUCUCUACAUGCUAUCAUCACUAACUUUGCUGCUAAUUUCCUCUCUUCCGGUUUCGCGGGCCUCCUUUUGUUUCACGAGUCCUUAUCCAUUCCGUGUAAAUUUUUUAAAUCUUGAAAACAAUGUGUCUUAUG